CCUACGGGUGGCAGCAGUAGGGAAUCUUCCACAAUGGGCGAAAGCCUGAUGGAGCAACGCCGCGUGGAUGAAGAAGGUCUUCGGAUCGUAAAACCCUGUUGUUAGAGAAGAAAGUGCGUGAGAGUAACUGUUCACGUUUCGACGGUAUCUAACCAGAAAGCCACGGCUAACUACGUGCCAGCAGCCGCGGUAAUACGUAGGUGGCAAGCGUUAUCCGGAUUUAUUGGGAGUAAGGGGAACGCAGGGGGUUUUUUAAGUCUGAUGUGAAAGCCUUCGGCUUAACCGGAGUAGUGCAUUGGAAACUGGGAGACGUGAGUGCAGAAGAGGAGAGUGGAACUCGAUGUGUAGCGGUGAAAUGCGUAGAUAUAUGGAAGAACACCAGUGGCGAAAGCGGCUCUCUGGUCUGUAACUGACGCUGAGGUUCGAAAGCGUGGGUAGCAAACAGGAUUAGAUACCCUGGUAGUC
rnacentral:rRNA from 1 species